rnacentral:tmRNA from 1 species
GGGGCCGACCAGGUUUCGACGUAGGUUCGGAUUCGGAGUGGGGCAUGUCGAGCACCAGUUCGCUCGUAAAUCCACUGGAUCGCACUUAACUGCGAACGACAACAAGUUCCUGAAAGCGGCUUAAUACCCGCCCAAGGGCUACCCCCCGCCGCUUAAUCCCGGUGGGCUUCGCAACAGCACGUCCAUGGGCUGGGCUUGAGGGGCAACCCAAGAGCUGCGAAGUCAUUCACAUGGAAUCGCUCUGAGCCGGGUCACUCGGUUCAAGGGCUAAAUCAAGUGACUCGGGAUGAGGGUAGCGUGCUGCUGCGCGACCACUGUCCUCAAAAACAAAUCAGUCAGCUACACAUGUAGAUCUACCCGGAGAAGGCUUUCGGACGGGGGUUCGAUUCCCCCCGGCUCCACCA